CAGCUUAUGUGUUGGAUCGGUUGAUUCAUAUAUGUUUGAACAAGGCCGCUAGAUGCGUUAUAUACCACGAAUUGCUAUGGAAUUGACUGGUCAAAUUUUGAUCACCUACCGCCAUAGGGUUUAUUCUGUGCAACACCUGGUUAAGCGUUGUA
rnacentral:rRNA from 1 species